GAGACUGCCGGUGACAAACCGGAGGAAGGUGGGGACGACGUCAAGUCAUCAUGGCCCUUACGACCUGGGCUACACACGUGCUACAAUGGUGGUAACAGAGGGUUAAUCCCUAAAAACCAUCUCAGUUCGGAUUGUCGUCUGCAACUCGACGGCAUGAAGUCGGAAUCGCUAGUAAUCGCGUAACAGCAUGACGCGGUGAAUACGUUCCCGGGCCUUGUACACACCGCCCGUCACACCAUGGGAGUUGGGUUUACCCGAAGGCCGUGCGCCAACCUUUCGAGGGGGCAGCGGACCACGGUGAGCUCAGCGACUGGGGUGAAGUCGAAACAAGGUAGCCGUAGGGGAACCUGCGGCUGG
rnacentral:rRNA from 1 species